GUGAGUUCUUCUCACUCUUCUCUCUCUAUCUUUGUUUCAUUUCUUCUUCUGAACCUUCUUUUCUCUUCUCUUUGUUACUGUUUCAUUGAUUUAUCAGCUGAUUCUCCACAAAUGAGUAUCAGAUCCGCACAUGCAUGGUUGAAAAUAGAUGACUGGUGCAUGUAGCUGUAUUAUUUUGGAUUACUGAUUGUUGACUGUCUUUUUUACUUUGCCGCUAAUAAAUUAUUGAAAAUCAAGUAUAUGAAAAUCUUUAAUUUUAAAUUUGCUGUUGGAAGAUUGGGUCUUAGCACUUAAAUUUUUUUUUAUUGAUAGUAUCAAUUAUAUUUGUAGACAUACUUUCAUGGUGUUCUUUCUAUGUAAGUAUUGUAUAUUUUUUAGACAGUUACCGUUUUAAUUGUUUUUUCUCUUCUACUUUAUUCUUUUUUUUUUUGUUCAUUCUACUCAAUAUAAUGGAGAAGACUGAUGAACCCAAGAUGUUCGGUGAUAUGCCUGAAACAACUUAACUAUUUGGUAAGAAUUUUUUUUGUUUCUCUUUUGCUGUAGGUGAGUAAAUUCGGGCUGCCUUUAAUGAUGUACAAUUGUGCAUUCCUGUGAAUUGGAAAAUUUUUUUCAUAAUAUUCAUGCAAAUACAGAAAUACUUCUUGAUGGCUCAGAGCAAUAUUAGAAUUUUAUCUUAUGUGUAUGAGAAUUUUAAUUACUUUUUUCUUCAAGUAGAUGUGUUGUUAUUGGUAUGUUAAAAUGGUCAUGGUAUUAGCUAUUACUGAUGAUCUUUUCUUUCUACCUAUUUUUUCGUGGGCCUUUUAUUAUUAUUAUAACUGGAAUAGAAUUUUUCUUAUAAGGUAGGGAUAAGGUCUACAUACACACUACCCUUCCCAAAUUCCAUGGUGUGGGAUAAUACUGGGUAUGUUGUUGUUGUUGUAAUUACUGGAAUAGAAUUCUGCAGGAGAAAGAAGUUCUGAUUUUUUUCGCUUCAUCUGAUUAGUUAGGUUAUGGGUCUUUGUUUGCUAAUAAUUGACUUUGUUUUUUUUUUUGGAACCCAGGAAAACCCGCAGCCGCUACAGCCUCUGCCCUUCGGGUGAGCACUCUGUGCGCACUGGGUAAACCCCCACUGUGUAAUAGCCUGCAAACCACACAGGGGAUAUAAACCGCACUAGGCAAACCCCGUGCGACAGGCUCAGACCCAGAGGGCAUUGAGGGGGAUCGAACCCGCAUCGCCCGUGUGGACAACUCCCUCCAAACCCAACUGGGCCGUCCCUUCGGGACAAUAAUGGACUUUGUUGUUUACAUACUUUUUUACCAUUUUUUAUAAGUAUCACUUUUAUAUUUCUAUCUUACAUGUUCGUAAAUCAACCAAUGGUUCUCUAACUUGGAAAGAAUGUAAACUACACCACAAGCUGUAGACAUCAUUUCCCAUGUAAGUUAAUACCCACAUUCUUACCUUAUUUGUUUUCAAAAGCCAUAUUCUAUCUUCCUUGUUCAAUAAAUCCUGUAACAAAACAAAAAAAAAAAGAUGAAAUGCUAUAUGUAAUUGUUUUUUCUCUGAAAUUCAUAUGAUGUGCUUUACAGUAGAACAAAGCCAGUAAAACUUUAUUGUAUAAGGAAGAGUUGCAAAAUAGGAUGUGAAUAUGUACAACAUAGAGUCCAGACGUGCUGCCUCUUGUGACUUUGUAUUCUCAAGUGGCCAUUACUCUGCACCCAUACAUGGUUACGCCUAAAGUAAUCAAGACAGAAGCUGGAUAUUUCAUCUUUAUGCAAAAACUCGAAGGCAAGGUUCUUUUUGCAUCUGCUUGAUGCCCUUAAUAAAUUUUAUUACUUCAUAAAAAAUAAAAGAAGAACUAGAAACAGGGAAGUACAUUUUGGAUGAACUCAACAGCACCAACAGAAAACAUCAAUUUCGGGGUAUGAAAUGUGAUGCACAAUCAUAUGGAGGUAAUACCUUUGACAAUGCAAGAGAGUUGGCUAUGUCUGCGCUCAAACUAAAAGAGUCGUAACAGCUUUUCACAGAGAAAGUUCUAUCCUUGCUGACAAUCCAAAUCAAAGAAUCCACCUUGUUUAUGAUCAAUAGCAACUUGUCCUACUAACUGUUGCAAUUGGCAAUAAUCCUCAAUUUCCCAGUCAUCCAAAUUGGUAACAAAUGUUACAUAGAUUGAUAGAACAGUCAAAUCACAGACAUAACAACUUGCAUUGGAAGAUUAUUUGGAAAAUCAGAGCUCCAGUCAAUGUAGCUUGCUUUGGGUGGAUAGCAGCCUGGGGAGCCUGUUUAUCUCAGGACAAUUUGCAGAGAAGAGGUUUUAUGUAUUUGGGGAGCCUGCUUUGUAUAAUCUAUGUAUACCGACUAUAAAAAGAAAUAAUGAAUGCAGAUAACUAUUUGUGUAAAGAUCCCAAAUUAC